CCCAGACAACAAUCAUCCUCUGGUCUCCCCCACUGACAAGCCUUUCACCAUGGAUGUGUAGACAUCUUACAAUACCCAUGUGUUCCUUGAGAAUGUGUUGUACCUUCCCUGAGAGCAGAAAGAGAUUGCAAAAAUUUGAAAAUAAUUACAGCCAAUACAUCCCGUAGGAUGACAAAGAUGGCAGCGGGCAAGGUUCGAACUCUGCAGAAUUGGGACAAAAGUUCAGAGCUCAUACCACAUGACCAGACAGACAUUUUGUUUUUCUUUUUAUAUAUUACAGCCUUUUCUUCCAAAAAGAAUUAAUGCAUCCUUUGUAUAAACAUUCUCUUUAAUCUCCAUUAGACACAUUACUAAUUAAUUAUUUUUUAAUGUCCAUUAGAGACAUUAUUAAUUAAUUGGUUUUCAUGUUCAUAAGAGACAUUACUAAUUAAUUGGUUUUCAUUAGUGACAUUACUAAUUAAUAGGUUUUCAUAACUUUUUUUUUUGGUGAAUCUUAGCAGGCUCAAGCAGCGCUUGGAAAAUAAAAUUCUUAAAUGAAUCGUGCGAUUAGAGAUUUGAACCACUGAAUAAUUAAUACACUUACCCUCAUGAGACCAGAGUAUGAUUGUACUGUCAGAAGAUCCUGAUGCGAUACAAUCAGCAUUGUAAGCCACACAAUACUGGAAGCAAAACAUAACAAAAAAUGCUAUGUAAAAUAUAGUGUGCUGGAAGAGUGCUGUUCUCAAAGUUCUGCUAUCAGAGAAAUAUAUUUCACCUACAAAUUGUUAAUAGUUAACAGAUU